CUGCGACUUUUCUCUUCUUCCCUCCUCCAAGACUGCAGAAUGUCCUCAAAUGGCUCUUAAGUCCCGAAAAUGGAAAGAUGCAUAUCUGGAACACCAGACCCUUCAUUCCCUGAGAUGGAUGGAGAGAGGAGGCAGUCAUGCCAACCUCCAAGAAUCUUUCAAGAGUUGUCCACUAGAGAUCGAGACGCUGAUGGGGAGGAUUGUUUACUCCACCGGUGGCUUGUUCCUCAGGUCCCCCUGCAAGGAUGGCUUGUCGCCUUGGCAUGCCGGGCUGCUCCACAUACACCCAUGUUUGGGCAUCCUCCUCACCUUCUAAGUCUGGCCAUGUGCAGCCCAGGGGAUUCGCAGUUUGAGGCAAGCCUGUCUUCUGUACAAAUACCAAAUACCAGAACCUGCUAAUCCCUAAUGGAGUGAAGACAGCUACGUGGGUGUGAUAAUGCCAGGAAAACCUGGGCAACUCCUGCAACUCUGAGGUCAGCUAGGCCUCUCUGGCCCUACCAGAUCCAGCUAAGAGGACUGCAGACCCAUAAGGCCACAGUGAAGUUCAAGUUCCAUACCCUCCAAAGAUUUCUGCAAAUUCCCAGCCCUUAGCCUCCUCCUAGUCCCCUCUGCCCUGGGAAUCCAGAGUGGUGUCCCCUUUACCCACUCAGCUGCCCAGAUGUAAACUAUCAACCCUUUCACUGAUUUGCACAGAAAAAUCCACUCUACCCAGGCACAGCUCUUCCCUGACAUAGCAUUCUCAAUUUACCUCCCACAGAAAGGGCAGAAGGCAAAGGGGUGUUUUGCAAAAAAGGCCUCUGCCAUUUAUUUCAGUUGGGAACAUUUAAUCCAUUCCAGUACUCCAAAAGACAGUCCAAUUUUUCACAUAAAUAAAAUCCUUAUAAGAAAAAUCUCUAGUUAUAUAUGAGGUGAAAAGUACAGAUUUCUUAUUUUAAACACCAGUCAGUUAUUUCAGUAACCGAAGCAGCACCAAAAACAUUCUGAAUCAAAGUUUCUCAUGCACUGUGAGUUUCUCCAGCAAAGUCCAGCAUUCAGGCACCUUCUCUUUAAAGGCAAAACACAGCAAAGGAACAAAAACAAAAAAACAACCACCACCAAAGAUGCUAUUAUGGGGCCUCUCCUGAGUGUAGAAGUGAAAGACGAAGUUCCGUGAAUCACAAUGGCCAACUUUUGUAACUUGCCUGUCAGGGUUUGCUGAGAAAAACCAAGAGGGCAAGAUAUAGGAAUGGGAAGAACAGCUUCCCCACAAUGGCUGGCACUUACCUGGGCCAGGCAUGGUGCUCAGCCUUGUUUUAAAAUUUAAUUCUAUUUCUAUCAAACUUAAUACAUACACGUUUUAAAAAGUCAAAUACUACUAUAAGGCUAGUAAAAAAAUGUAGUGUUCCCCUCCCCAUACCUUCCCCACCCCAAGUCCCAAUUCAGCAAAUACUUUUCAUAUUUACCUCCACUUUUCUGAGUAAAAGACAUACUAUUGAAUCCUGACUUUUCCAUUUUAGACAUAAUCUCCUGCCUUCCUGCUAUGGUUGCUGAGGGUUUUAGAAAGGAUACCUUUACCUCAUCUACUUUCCCUUCUACAUCCUCCCCAUGUAAUCAUGUCACAGGUUUUGUUAAAUCAUUAUUCAAUGAACAUGUUAUUCUCAUUAAGUAAACAUUGUUCAAGCUGCUCCAG
rnacentral:lncRNA from 10 species